rnacentral:piRNA from 1 species
UGAGGUGACUUAGCUUGGUGGCCUCUGAA